rnacentral:rRNA from 1 species
UACGGAGGGGGCUAGCGUUGUUCGGAAUUACUGGGCGUAAAGGGCGCGUAGGCGGCGCGAUAAGUUGGGCGUGAAAGGCCCGGGCUCAACCCGGGGACUGCGCUUGAUACUGUCGCGCUGUGAGUCCGGGAGAGGAUGGCGGAAUUCCAGGUGUAGCGGUGAAAUGCGUAGAUAUCUGGAGGAACACCGGUGGCGAAGGCGGCAUCCUGGACCAACACUGACACUGAGGAGCGAAAGCCAGGGGAGCAAACGGG